UUAAUGUGUACUUCUUUAAUAACGAAUAAAUAUUCAAAUUACAAUUAGAGUUAAAAUAAAUGAAAAUGUCAAAAUUAAUAUUUUAAUAGAAUAGUGAUAUAUUUGGAGAGUCUGUUAUUUAGUGUUGUUAAAAAGUGGCUAGCUAAAUUUAGAAAAGUGAAUUUUCUAGCUAAAUUUUGGUCAAACUUUGGCUAGGCCUCCAUUAAUGCUCUUACGGGAGAG